AAUUAACCCUUAGUUAUUAAGUUGUUUCAAAUAUUUAUUAAACGUUGUACAAUCCCGUACUUCCUUUGGUUUAUUUAUAACUAAGGUCUUUCUAUGCAAACUAUUAUCUUUUCUACAAGUUUUAUUUAAAACAACAUGUUUAUAUUUCUAUUAUAACCUUAGCGACACUCACAAGCUAUUUUCUUAAAUAUUUAGCCUUAAUUAAUUAAUAUAAGUCCGGUCGGUUAACCAUUGUUAAUGGGUUUUAAAGGAUGCCUAAUACCUUCCCUUUAGACUAAUUGAACCCUUACCUAGAAUCUUAAGUUUCGUAGACCUUAAAACGGAAUUAACUUUAGAAAAAAACUUUAAUGAACCUUAGGUGUCCUAAUUCACCAUAAAUAAUUAGGUGGCGACUUCCUUAACUUUAAUUAACCCCGAAAUUACCGGAAUGUUAUAAACUAUUCCGACUUAGGUUAAAAUAGGGUAUAACACACACAUGUUUCAAUCUAGAUUCAUGUGUAUGCUCAUUUCUGUAGCUUCUUUGCAAUGGAAUAUGUCUAUGGACCUGUUUUAACCGUCCUGUGUUGCUUUCUUUUUUAGACCUUUUACAUUGUCUGGAACCUCUGCUUCAUCUCAACCAACUGUCUAACUUUGUUCAGUUUACCUUGUCAAUUAUCACAUGUAUCUAGACUUGGUUUCUUUGCAUUGUAGGUUCACUUUGUCAAUAAUUAAAACUUCACACAUGGCUUUAUGCCAACAGUUCCAAGUUGAAGCAAGCUAUAAUCUGAGUUGUUUUGGUUGUAUUGAAGAUUGAAGCGUAGAGGAAAUUUUUCCCAACAGUAGUAAGAGCUUGGUGUAAGAGAUACAACUUGCCUUCGGGGCUAUACAGAGAUACAACUUGCCUUCGAGGCUAUACAGAGAUACAAUUUGCCUUCAGGGCUAUUUACAUUUGCCUUCAGGGUUAUGCACUGCCUUUGGACCAUUCAUGUUGCCUUCGGGGCUAUGCACUUACACAGGGACCCCACAUGAGGCAGGAUAAUUUAUUUUCAAUAUUGCAUUCAAGACACGAGACAGAGACAGGUAGAUAUGUUUCCAGAUUAUCAUUGAAUUAAUCCUCAGUUUACAUUCAGUAUAUCUUGUAUAUCAGUUUAGUUUAAGUUUCAGUUAUUCAGUUGCCUCACAUACUCGGUACAUUAUUUUGUAUUGACGUCCCUUUUGCCGGAGAUGCUGCAUUUAAUGCUUGCAGGUCCUGAUAGAUAGAUAGACAGGCCUUCAUAGUAGACGGUAUCGAGUAUCAGCUAGAUUGGUAAGCUCCAUUUCAUCCAAAGUUACCAGGUCAAGAGUUGGACUCAUUUUACAUACAUAGACAUGAUGGGUAGACAAGGCUUUAUCCGGACCACAGUACAGUUAUGUUUUUCUUAGAGGCUUAUAGACUUGUCUUGUACGUACAAUAUGUCAGCCUUGUCGGGCUUGUAUAUAUUUGUUUGGGGUUUUGCUGUUUGUAGAUAUGCAUGGUGGCCUUGUCGGUCCACAUAGGUGCUUAUAUAUAUGUUGGGGAGAUCCCAUUUCAGUGAGAUAGUUAUUAUCUACAUAUUAUUCAGAUUACACCCUUGUCAGCCUAAGAUAGCAUACUUGUGUUAUAGAUUGGCCUUGUCGGCCUAGAUUGUUGUGUAUGUUCAGGUUAAACGAGUUACAGUAGUACGCUCGAAGUCAAGUAAGACACCGGGUGCCGGCCACGCCUCCUCAGGCUUG